GGCACGAUAGGCGAGACUGAAGACUUGGAUGUGAAUGAACCUGCACAAGCAGAUGGCACUUCAAGUCAUCUCUAUAGGGAUCCUCAAGCAGGAGAUGCCAGAUUGCCAUCAUGACUGGACUUUAGGAAGUUAUAUUUGGAUGUGUUGAAGGAGAACACUGCUUUGAGGGAGAAGCUCCAGGAAACACAGCUGCAGCUCAGUGAGAGCAAAGUGGAGCUGGAACGACUCCGACAGAGUCAGGAGAAUGGCUGUGAGCGCCCUGCUCUACUGGAGCUGGAGAGAUUUGAGAAGAAGGCACUUGAGAGAAAAGCAUCAGAGCUGGAGGAUGAGCUCAAGGUUCUGAUUGACCUGCGUGCCGAUAACCAGCGUCUGAAAGAUGAGAACGCCUCCCUCAUCCGCGUCAUCAGCAAGAUCUCCAGAUGAGCUCUAUAUGUGCCGCUACCCUCCCAAACCACUAAGUGGCAGCACUGUGCCAUUCUGCACAUCUCUGCCCAGAGUAAACUGGAACGACGCUGUUCACUUUCUGCAUGGCCAUAGCACAUAGAAUCUUUGUGUGUGUUUGUCUGGGACUGGCCUCUCACCCUUGUGUUGCCUAAACUACUGUUUUCCAAACUAAAAUGCACAUAACGAUAAAGCCUAAAGGAACGUGUAGACCCAGCCUAACCCACAGUUCGAGAAAUUUGAGCUCCUUGUGCACAACUGUCAGGAGAUUCUACUACUCCAGAUCCUCAGAACCCAGUGAAGACUAGACCCAGUACAGAUACAGUUCUAGAGCCCUCUGCUCUUUGUUCACGUCCAGCAGAGAACGCUAGAACUCCAAUUCCUCUGAGUGUAGUUGAGUGAAGUCUUGACCAAAUCACCCUUGUCGUUCUGGAAGCCACAACCCUUUGAGCAGAACUAGCACAAAAUUCUGGGACUACAGUUUCAUCGAGUCUGGUUUUGUUCAAUGUAAAUGCAAAUUAAAUACUUGAAGUGCUGCAGAAUGGAGAAUAAUUGUAAGCCGCUUUUGUUCUGUAUAUUUAAAAUGUAAGGAAUUCUUUCAUGUGCGCUGUGCUUGAUAUCUUUACCUUGUAGCUUUAUAUGAAAAAAGCCAGUACAUGGGUAACAGCUUAUUUAUUGUUUUUCUUUCCCCCUCUUCUUUGUACGCUAGCCAUGGGUAGUCACUGUAACUUGUAACAACUGCUCUGAUAGUGCUCAACACUAGUGGGCACCACUGAUCAGGGAAGCACGUGAAUCAGGUGUUUCAGCUCUGGCCACAUGACCUAAAGAAGUGCUUGUAUAUCUUGGACACUGCAGAGAUGCAACCAUGUGCCAAACGUUAUUUUCCACUCUUAUGUGCUCCAACAUGCUUGUUAGUGGACCCACUGUAGUGAAUUGUUCCCCCGCACCCCACCCACAUUCUCUCAAAUACUGGGCUAGUUCAGUAGUACUAUAACAGACUCCUAUCGCUUCACUGUCAUCAGAAACACGUCUAGCUCCACCAUGUAAAGGAAAUACUAUGUGCUUCAAUGUGCUUCAGUGAUUCACAUACAUUCAGCAGUAUCCUGUUCCCUUGGAAAA